GAUAAAAUAAAGGAUUUCAGAAUAACAAAGCACUUUACUAUCUCAGGGUAUAGGUGCUAUUGGCCAAAAAUGAUGGGAUCUGAUAAGUAAUGGACAAUAUGAUGGAUAUAAAAAGCAGUUACAACAUCAGCUUCUUUCAUGAAGUUCCAAACAAACCAACACAUCUUAACUACACCAUUGCCAUGGGACACUGAGAAAAUCAAGUGCUACGAGACUAAGUGUUUUCCAAUUUAUAUCAAGUAUGACAGUGUGUUAAUACAAAAAUGUUGAGGGUGAAAAUGAAAUUUUGAAUCCAGAUGUGCUCCUUCGUCAUCCUGCUAGCAUAAAAGAAAGGAUGUGGUCUACCACAUGUGGCUCAAACACUUCCUCAUCUAGACAAGGUGGUAAGAGGCUGAGGAGAUACCUUAAAAAAACAAAACAAAAAACAACAACAACAAAAAGACCGAAACUAAAGCUGACAGAAUUAUCCUUGCACAAAGAUUGGUGGAGACAUAAUGUCAGUG
rnacentral:lncRNA from 1 species